GCAUUACAAUGAUGAUUAUAUUCUUUAGUCGGAUACCCCUUCACUCUUAAUUAUGAGUGAGAUCCAUACUCUGACAUGC